rnacentral:lncRNA from 1 species
GUCUGACCAGAGUAUCAAUUCUUUAUUUCUUAAAUGUAUUUUUACUUUUUAUGAAAACAAUAAUUGUACCUAGGUGUGGGGUAUGCUGUGACAUUUCAAUACAUGGAAACAAUGUGUAAUGAUUAAAUCAGGAUAAGUGGUGUAUCCAUCUCCUCAGAUAUUUAUCAAUUCUUUUUUUUUUUUUUUUUUUUUGCAGUACUGGGGAUUGAACUCAGGACCUUGUGCUUGAGAGGCAGGCAGUAACACCACUGAGCUAAAUCCCCAGCUAUUUAUCAAUUCUUUAUGCUGGGAAAAUUCAAAUGCUUCUCUACUAGCUCUUUUGACAUAUAUAAUCAACUGUUGUCAACCCUCACCCUGCUGAACCAUCAGAAGGUACUCCUCCCGUCACUGCAGAGCACUUCCUAAAGCAUCGUGUUGAUGAUUCAGGCUGUCUGGCUGCAUCGGGCUGGGCUGAAGGAAUGAGCCAGCUCUCUCUUCCCUGUCUUGAAGCCCUUGCUGGGCUUUUCCUGAAAUGACCGCACACCUGAUUCACCCAGAAGCCCUUCCCACAGUUUUUCACCCUCUCCUCGGGGGUGCAGGUUGGCCCUGGGCCCCAGCGCAGAAGUCCUCAGCAGUUCUGGUGUCUUCAGCAGGUUUGCAAGCCACUCUCAGCCAGUCUGUCCACCCCCAAGGCAGGAACCAGUGCCCGGGCGUGAGGCAGAGCCACAUUCCAGAACAUUCGUCCAGGAGUGCAGGGAUGGCUGGCUUCAUAGCGAAACAUCCUUGGGCGCUGCAAACCAUCUCUACUUCACAUCCUCGUCUCCAGCCAAACCCCAAGAGGGUCUACAAACAGCUUCAGGGAGGCCAUUCCUCAAGAGGCCAAGCACAGAGUGUGCACUGUGACCACGAUUCUACUCCUGGGUAUGUGCCCAGAGAAUCCCAAACAGAUAAUCCAACAAAAGCUUAUACCUUGCUAAUUACCAAAAGGUGUAAGUGACCCAAAAGUCCAUUAGAAAAUGAACUGAUAAAUAGUAUGGUGAUGAUAGCAAUGAGAUAUUCUUUGUUCAUGGAGUUCUGAUACAGGCGCCAACAUGGAACCGCAUAGACAGACCCUGAAAACAGGAUGCUAGGAGCCAGAAACCAGGCCCCAAGGCCACAUGGUGUAGGUGUCCAUUCAUACACAAGGUCCAGGUUGGCAAAUCUACAGAGAUCUACCACACUGAGUGAGUCUAAUCACACCCUCUCCACUUACUUGCUGUGUGACUUUGAGCAAAUCUCUGGAUCUCUCUGUGCCUAUAAAAUAGGUUUAAUGAUAAGCUAUUUCAUGGGGUUGUUGGGAGAAUCCAAUGAGCCAAUACCCAUAAAGUACUCUGAGCCAUGCUGGUUUGUGAAAAAUAGCCACUGAGUGCUUUCCAUUUUUAUAUAGAUUUUCAGGAAAGGGUUCACUGAGAAGGCACCAGAUCUUGGACCUCAAAGGACACAUAUGAUUUAGUAGGUGGGGAGAAGGGUUUAAGUUAGUCAUCAUACACUGGGACUGAAAUCCUGGGUUGCCUUUUAUAGCCCUUCUCUAGAGACUCCCACAGCAAUCCUAAGCGAACUGUUAUUACCCGUACUAGUUUAUAAAGGAGACUCAGACAGAUUAAGAAACUUGCCUGAAGUCACACAGCUUCCAAGGGACAGAGCCAAGAUUUGGCCCCACCUGUGCCAAGUCUCCCUAUACAGGAAGAGGACAAGAGGACAAGAGGACAGUGAUUGUUCAAACUGUCUAGGAUCUGAUUACCUAUGCUUCUGGCUCUCUUUCUCUCUGUGCCUNNNNNNNNNNNNNNNNNNNNCCCUCUCUCUCUCUCUCUCUCUCUCUCUCCCUCCCUCCCUCCCUCUCUCUCUCCCUCCCUCCCUUCCCCCCUCUCUCUUCCAUAUGAAAAUAGGAAGGCCCAAAAUUCUACUUGUAGGCAUUUAUGCAAGAGAAAUUCAAUUCAAACCACGUCCACACAAAGACUCAUGCACAAAUGUUCACAGCAGUUUAAUUCAUAGUAGCUCCAAACUGGGAAUAGCUCAAAGGAUCAACAAAGAACAGGUAAAUAAAUGGGAUCUAUCCAUACUGCAGUGUGCUAUAUUCAGCAAUAAAAAGCAACAGACUGCUGCUACAUGCCACAGCAUGGAUGCCUCUCAAAAUAAACACAACCAGCCAAAGAAGCCAGCCUAAGUGAAAAGAAAAGAACAUAUGCUGUAUGACUCCAUUCGUAUGAAAUUCUAGAACAGGCAAAACUAAAUGAAGGUGAAAAAAGCCAGACAGCAGUUAUUCUAGGAAAGGAACAUGGUGGCGGUGUUGGCAGGGUGGGGAGAGAGAUUUGGGGGCCGUGGUGAUUCUAAGGGCUUGAUCUAGACAGGGUAAUACAUUUGUCAGCACUCACCGACUGCUACUCUUAGAAUGUGCCCCUUCCUUACAUGUAAAUUUCAUCCUAAAGAAGGAAACUGUUGAGAAACACAGUACUGAACUCCAUCUAGAUAAUACCUGCUCGUGUCCAGGGGUAAAGAAUCCACUUUCAACUCACUUUGAAAAACACAUGCUCCUCCACUUAUAAUGGGAUCACACCCUAGACAACCCAUUGUGAGUUGAAAAUAUAUUAAGCAAAAAGUGCCCUGAUUUCCCCUGGCGCCACACAUAGCUCAGUCUCACUUGCCUGACCAGCCACCUAGCACCCUGUCUGUGCAACAGAGGCCCAUAGGCCCUAACGCUCAGCUGGGACUAACUGAUAUCCCUUGAGCUUGGCCAAGGCCCGAGGAAGGGACCCCACAGGCUCUUUUGGUGGGAGAAAAAUGCCCUUGGCAUCUCCAUGCCUGAUUCCACUUUCUCUAUUCCUCUCCAUUUGUCUCUCCCUCUCUGAAACGUGACCUUUUGGGGGCUGCCAUCUGCCAGUGACUAAGAGCAGGCACUUGGGCCAUGCUGGCAGCACCUCCCUGAGAUGGCGAAAGUACAGCCUGGCUGGGGUCAUGGGACAGGCUGGACUGAGCCUGGCUUCCCUUGCUGCCAUGCAUCUUCUCCCCCAUUUUGCUCCACAUGACCUAGGAUGGUGUCCAGCCAGAGGCCCAGACCCCUGGUCCCUACACCCUGGGCUCCCAGCGUCCACUCCCUGUCCUGCUCCUUCUUUCAGUCUUACUCUAAUGCCUCCCCUGCCCUGCCUGAUGCUGGAUCUCCCUGUUUCACAGAUGGGGAAGUUGAGGCACUGAGUGGCACUUUAUCUCUUCUAAUGAGUGGCUAUAGAAGGAGCGUUUAUCUCGUAAUGUCACUGGGAGGAUGAAGUAGGGCCUAAAGGGUGUCAGUGCUCACGGCCCCCGACUGAGUGUCUUGUUGCCCAUUUCAUAGGUGAAGCUCAGGGAGGGCGAGACACUUGCCCUAGGGACAGGUGAGCAGCAGAGGCAGGGCUGUCCUGGGUGGAGGAGAACUGAAGGGGGCAGACACAGAGGUGCUGUGGCCGGCUGCCCAGAGGAGGGAUGGGGGCUGGAUCAGGGCCCUGGGAGUCUGCCUUCACCCUGGGGCUCUUGACGAGCUGUCAGCUGCUGACAUUUAUAACUGCGCCUAAUGUUCCCACUGCACCCACGGGAGCCUUUCCGCUCUGAUCUGCCUGGCAUUACCCAGGCUUGAAAUGAUGGCAAUUACCCUGGGGCUGGAUAAUGGCUGUGGGAGGUGCUGAAAGCUUCAGGCCUUGAUUU